rnacentral:rRNA from 1 species
GAUGAACGCUGGCGGCGUGCUUAACACAUGCAAGUCGAACGGGAAACCUUUUAUUGCAGCUUCGGCAGAUUUAGCUGGUUUCUAGUGGCGGACGGGUGAGUAACGCGUGGGUAACCUGCCUUAUACAGGGGGAUAACAGUCAGAAAUGGCUGCUAAUACCGCAUAAGCGCACAGAGCUGCAUGGCUCAGUGUGAAAAACUCCGGUGGUAUAAGAUGGACCCGCGUUGGAUUAGCUGGUUGGUGGGGUAACGGCCCACCAAGGCGACGAUCCAUAGCCGGCCCGAGAGGGUGAACGGCCACAUUGGGACUGAGACACGGCCCAGACUCCUACGGGAGGCAGCAGUGGGGAAUAUUGCACAAUGGGGGAAACCCUGAUGCAGCGACGCCGCGUGAAGGAAGAAGUAUCUCGGUAUGUAAACUUCUAUCAGCAGGGAAGAUAAUGACGGUACCUGACGAAGAAGCCCCGGCUAACUACGUG